GUUAGCCAGCAGAGUGGAAAGCAGCUGCAGGCAAUAGAAGAGGGUUUGGGUAGAAGCUGCUUCGAGGAUUGUUCCCAAGAGAGACUGCUGCUGAAAUGAGUAAAUUCCAAAACUUUUCUGGGACCACCUCUAAGAACAUGUAUUCAGAUCUGGGAGUUGGACUAGAUGAUGCCUAGAGGUUCCUUCCAACUCUGAGGAUUAUGUUCUAACCGGCUGUUCACGAGGACACCCAUGUACUUCUCUGCAGUGAUCUUCUCCAGCAGGUCACCCCCUUACCUGUACUGAUGCAUGCGGUUAUUACUCCCCUGAUAUGGAACUCUCAUAUUACGUUUUAGUAUAUUACAUAUUUUCCUGUGUAUUUUAUAUGCUGUAUGACUUCUAAGUCAGUACAGAUCAUUUGCCUGGCACUAGCACUUUUUUCAGAAAAAAGCUGUGUUCUGGCUAUGAAGGGCAGCUGCAGUUGUGCCAGUGAUUGCCACUUACAAUGAGUGCUGGGCAAACAACAUUAUUCCCGUCUUCCCAGAGGUAAAGAAGGAGCCUGGUAAAGCAAUAUUUUGUUUGGAUGUGAAGUAGUCAUGUAAAGCAGUCCUUUCCAGCCACUGAGUUUCACAUUAUUAUCUCAUGAAAAAUUAUUGCAUUAACAGUAGUUACUGCAUUCGCAGAAUUGUAUGUGCAACUCUUACCUGCUUCUGUUCUGGGGAAUGUAAAGAAUUGGACAGGAUAAUCUUUAGUGACUUGUCCAGACUUUCAUCUCUCUAAUUAUACAAGCUUCCCUAUUCAUGAUUCUUAAUGAAUACUCAUCUGCUGAGAAGUAUUGUGUUUCAGUGACACAAAAUAGAAAUAUAUUCUAUUUCUUAAGACCUUGGGUUGGACAUAGAAACUAGGCAAAGAUAUUAACGUAACAUACAAGUAGUUAACAUAGGAAUUUCUUGUGUACAGUUUCUGCAGUAGCAAUUAUCCAUUCCAAGGCUGUGGAGGAUGCCAGAUGAUAAAUAAUGUUUUCCUUAAGGUCCUGGCCUAAAAACUGGUAGAUCUUUCUACUGCACUUCAGUAAACAAUUGUGUUUACAAGAACUCCUCAACAAAAGCCAAUUGUCUAUGAUCCUAGCUUUACUGGAGACUUAUGCAACUUGUGAUAAUUCCACUAGAAAUAACUGAUAUAAGAAUCAUUUUUCUGCUUUGCUGAUGUGUCUGUUUUCUUAAAGCUAGAUGCUAAAACUAAAAAGAAAAGCUUUACUGGAAAAGGUGGAUUUUCAAUUUUUUUCAUUUUACUUCCUUUGUUUUGCAUUGCAACAUUUUAUGAUCUGUUAUCAUAACGAAUGGCAAGCAAAGGAAACUAGUAUGUGAUGGUCUCUGAAAUAAGCCUAGUUGGCAAGAUGGAAUGAAGAAACUAAAACAAGUUCAUAUUUUUUUCCGAUUUUUUACUUAUACAUGGUCAUGGCAGUGCAAUAAGAAAACACCUAUGUUUCCAAGCUGAAGGGAUAACUGAUACAACAACUAUAGGCAACUAAGAGCAAAGUCUUGCUCCUUUAAGAAAAGGAAAGAAAUAGGCAUCAGACAGUGAAAAACCUAUUCCAAGCAGAAAGUAAAGUAAGAAGCAUUUCUGUGGAAAUGAUUGAAGAUCUCGAGUGCAAGAAAUAGUGGACAUGUACACCAUGGUACAGGUGUAUACAUGGAAAGUACAGGAAGAAACUGAAAAUAUCAAAAAUCUCUUAUUUGCACCAAAUUAAAGAAAAUAUAUUUUAAAGAAAUAAGCAAUUCUAUUGCACUUGCUUUGUGCCUGAUAAAAUAUUGAGAUUUGUUCAAUUUUUCAUGUAUUUGUUUUAUAUGUUUUGCUAUAGUCACUAGUGAGGCAAGAUAGAUGAGUUUGGCUUUCUGACAAAUCAAUGCUGCUUCUCACAAAUCUGUUUUGUUGUUUAGUUGCUGAAAUCUGUGACAUCUCUGUCUAGUUAGUGUCAGAAUGAGGUGCAAGCUACAGCUUUAGGGAGAUUUACUGUCAGUUGCUUUCUUGACUUAUAACUUGCUCACAAUACUUUAUCUUGACUGUAAAUUAGAGUAAGGUAACUCCUCAUUUUCAAUCCCCAGAAUAGAAAACAGAAGAAAUUGAAUUUGGAGGAUCUUAUGUUUGUAGACUUUAAGUCAGGCACUGAUCCUUCAUACUGCAAAGGAAUCUUAUGCUGUAAAAGGAAACAAUAUACUGUUUGUCUUUCAUCUGCCAGUAAUAGUCUCUUAUUAAGCAUGCAUAGUUGUACUACUUCAUUCACAUCAUCUGUAUACAGUUGCCCUGCAGUAAGAACUUCUCUUCCCCAGCCACUUUAUGAGAUCAGCUUACUGAUUGAGCUUUUCACUUUAGCAGCAUAUAAUGUACUGCUUCACAUUCAGCAUAGCUAAUGGUCCUGUUUUCCAUCCUUAUUGGUAAAGGUGCUUAAAGUUAGGAAUCAAUAUAAGUUAUCCCUAGCAUGCUUACUACUGCUGUCUGCUCAUGGUUAGAUUCUGUGGAAAACAAAAUGUCUUAUUUACUAGGAGUUUAAAGGGAAUUAGAUGGGUGAAGUGGGUCUUGUAUUUGUUUCCAGUGAAGUCCCAUCUAAAUGAACAUCCACCUUAGCUACAAAACUUUCUGUAACUGCUCAUGAGUUACAGAACUCCAGAGCUGAAAAUGAACAUCUAAAUUAAUGUUUAUUCUUUCUUAUGAUGUAAAAUUAUGUAUUAUGUAGAAAAGUGUGUAUGUAUGAGUCUUGGGUUCCCAGCAUAAUUUGGAAAUUAAACAGAUUGUCU
ensembl:lncRNA